GAUGAACGCUGGCGGCGUGCCUAAUACAUGCAAGUCGAGCGAACAGACGAGGAGCUUGCUCCUCAGACGUUAGCGGCGGACGGGUGAGUAACACGUGGAUAACCUACCUAUAAGACUGGGAUAACUUCGGGAAACCGGAGCUAAUACCGGAUAAUAUAUUGAACCGCAUGGUUCAAUAGUGAAAGACGGUUUUGCUGUCACUUAUAGAUGGAUCCGCGCCGCAUUAGCUAGUUGGUAAGGUAACGGCUUACCAAGGCAACGAUGCGUAGCCGACCUGAGAGGGUGAUCGGCCACACUGGAACUGAGACACGGUCCAGACUCCUACGGGAGGCAGCAUUAGGGAAUCUUCCGCAAUGGGCGAAAGCCUGACGGAGCAACGCCGCGUGAGUGAUGAAGGUCUUCGGAUCGUAAAACUCUGUUAUUAGGGAAGAACAAAUGUGUAAGUAACUAUGCACGUCUUGACGGUACCUAAUCAGAAAGCCACGGCUAACUACGUG
rnacentral:rRNA from 1 species